rnacentral:tRNA from 1 species
AUUCAGAUAACUUAAAUUUAAAGUAUUAUAUUGAAGAUAUAAAAAUAGAAUGUUAUUCUUCUGAAUA